rnacentral:rRNA from 1 species
UACAGAGGGUGCGAGCGUUAAUCGGAAUCACUGGGCGUAAAGCGCACGUAGGCGGACUCUUAAGUCGGUGGUGAAAUCCUGGAGCUCAACUCCAGAACUGCCUUCGAUACUGAGAGUCUUGAGUCCGGGAGAGGUGAGUGGAACUGCGAGUGUAGAGGUGAAAUUCGUAGAUAUUCGCAAGAACACCAGUGGCGAAGGCGGCUCACUGGCCCGGUACUGACGCUGAGGUGCGAAAGCGUGGGGAGCAAACAGG